GAGCAAGUUUACCUUGGCACAGGAGCUCAGGUGGGGCUGUGAGAAACCUUAUCUGUGCUUGCCCGGUAAACAAGGAGCCCUCCAUCUCCCCAGAGCCUUGGCCACCCAGCAGGUGACCACAGGAGGCAGGUGAGCUGGGAGAGCGGCAGGCUGGCCAGAGCCAUCACAGAGCUCAACUGGCCCGGGAGCAGGCUGUGUUAGGUAAAUGUUGCCUGGAUUUGGUUGACAGACUCAUUUACUGAUUGUCUGUUGGUUGCCAAGAGAAAUGCCAUCAAAUUCACCAGAUGCAAAGAGCUGCAGGGUGAUGUCAACGGUGCUUGUCUAUGGACCACACUGCGAGCAAGCGAAAUCUUAAUGUUCAGAUGACUGCGUGCAUUUUACACAGUGGAAAUAGUUACCAUUUAAGGAG
rnacentral:lncRNA from 1 species